CUGAAGCAACAAAUGCCCUGCUUCCAGGAAAAGCCUCUAAGCAUCAGGUAACAUCAAAUCGUACCCCAAACCGACACAGGUGGUCAGGUAGAGAAUACCAAGGCGCUUGAGAGAACUCGGGUGAAGGAACUAGGCAAAAUGGUGCCGUAACUUCGGGAGAAGGCACGCUGAUAUGUAGGUGAAGUCCCUCGCGGAUGGAGCUGAAAUCAGUCGAAGAUACCAGCUGGCUGCAACUGUUUAUUAAAAACACAGCACUGUGCAAACACGAAAGUGGACGUAUACGGUGUGACGCCUGCCCGGUGCCGGAAGGUUAAUUGAUGGGGUUAGCGCAAGCGAAGCUCUUGAUCGAAGCCCCGGUAAACGGCGGCCGUAACUAUAACGGUCCUAAGGUAGCGAAAUUCCUUGUCGGGUAAGUUCCGACCUGCACGAAUGGCGUAAUGAUGGCCAGGCUGUCUCCACCCGAGACUCAGUGAAAUUGAACUCGCUGUGAAGAUGCAGUGUACCCGCGGCAAGACGGAAAGACCCCGUGAACCUUUACUAUAGCUUGACACUGAACAUUGAGCCUUGAUGUGUAGGAUAGGUGGGAGGCUUUGAAGUGUGGACGCCAGUCUGCAUGGAGCCGACCUUGAAAUACCACCCUUUAAUGUUUGAUGUUCUAACGUUGACCCGUAAUCCGGGUUGCGGACAGUGUCUGGUGGGUAGUUUGACUGGGGCGGUCUCCUCCUAAAGAGUAACGGAGGAGCACGAAGGUUGGCUAAUCCUGGUCGGACAUCAGGAGGUUAGUGCAAUGGCAUAAGCCAGCUUGACUGCGAGCGUGACGGCGCGAGCAGGUGCGAAAGCAGGUCAUAGUGAUCCGGUGGUUCUGAAUGGAAGGGCCAUCGCUCAACGGAUAAAAGGUACUCCGGGGAUAACAGGCUGAUACCGCCCAAGAGUUCAUAUCGACGGCGGUGUUUGGCACCUCGAUGUCGGCUCAUCACAUCCUGGGGCUGAAGUAGGUCCCAAGGGUAUGGCUGUUCGCCAUUUAAAGUGGUACGCGAGCUGGGUUUAGAACGUCGUGAGACAGUUCGGUCCCUAUCUGCCGUGGGCGCUGGAGAACUGAGGGGGGCUGCUCCUAGUACGAGAGGACCGGAGUGGACGCAUCACUGGUGUUCGGGUUGUCAUGCCAAUGGCACUGCCCGGUAGCUAAAUGCGGAAGAGAUAAGUGCUGAAAGCAUCUAAGCACGAAA
rnacentral:rRNA from 1 species